rnacentral:rRNA from 1 species
UACGGGGGGGGCAAGCGUUGUCCGGAAUUAUUGGGCGUAAAGAGCUCGUAGGCGGUUUGUCACGUCUGCUGUGAAAUCCCGAGGCUCAACCUCGGGCCUGCAGUGGGUACGGGCAGACUGGAGUGCGGUAGGGGAGAAUGGAAUUCCUGGUGUAGCGGUGGAAUGCGCAGAUAUCAGGAGGAACACCGAUGGCGAAGGCAGUUCUCUGGGCCGUAACUGACGCUGAGGAGCGAAAGCGUGGGGAGCGAACAGG